UGGGGAAUAUUGGGCAAUGGGGGGAACCCUGACCCAGCGACGCCGCGUGGGUGAAGAAAUCCUUCGGGAUGUAAAGCCCUGUUGUAUGGGAAGAGCAGAAGACGGUACCAUACGAGGAAGCCCCGGCAAACUACGUGCCAGCAGCCGCGGUAAUACGUAGGGGGCAAGCGUUGUCCGGAAUUACUGGGCGUAAAGCGCACGCAGGCUGAAUUAUAAGUCGGUAGUCAAAGGCGGAGGCUCAACUUCCGUUUAUCUAUCGAAACUGUAAAUCUAGAGUAUGUGAGAGGGAAGUGGAAUUCCCGGUGUAGCUGUGAAAUGCGUAGAUAUCGGGAGGAACACCAGUGGCGAAGGCGGCUUCCUGGCACAAUACUGACGCUCAUGUGCGAAAGCUAGGGUAGCGAACG
rnacentral:rRNA from 1 species